AAGUCGUAACAAGGUUUCCGUAGGUGAACCUGCGGAAGGAUCAUUAACACGUAUCCAAACGUUAAAACCCCCCCCGUGAACAUUCAUCCUGCUCUUGUAACCCGCGAAGCUUGCAAUCUCUGGUAAAUCAUAGCCCGGAAAGUAGUUUUGAUUCAGAGACCUCUGGCCCGUGAGAUUCUUUGAGACGUUACAAUUUUGAGCGGUAGUUCUAUAGGCCUUGUUUCCCCAAGCAGUCAGUGUCUGAAAGUGUCAUUGAUUGUGCAAGGAUAACGCUUCACGAUUCCUGCAGGAGCUUUGCCAAAGGGGCCCCAUGCCCCCUAAUAACCCCACAGUUUAAUGUGAAGCUCAAUGUAAUUGGGUAAAAAAACCGAACAACUGUUAACAAUGGAUAUCUUGGUUUUC
rnacentral:misc_RNA from 1 species